GACGUAGGGGGCCAGCGUUGUUCGGAAUUACUGGGUGUAAAGGGCGCGUAGGCGGGUGUCCAAGUCAGGGGUGAAAUCCCACGGCUCAACCGUGGAAGUGCCUCUGAUACUGGCCAUCUCGAGGGAGGUAGGGGCGUGCGGAACUUCCGGUGGAGCGGUGAGAUGCGUAGAUAUCGGAAGGAACGCCGGUGGCGAAAGCGGCGCGCUGGACCUCUUCUGACGCUGAGGCGCGAAAGCCAGGGGAGCAAACGGG
rnacentral:rRNA from 1 species